rnacentral:rRNA from 1 species
ACGAACGCUGGCGGCGUGCUUAACACAUGCAAGUCGAACGGUAAGGCUCCAGCUUGCUGGGGUACACGAGUGGCGAACGGGUGAGUAACACGUGGGUGACCUGCCCUGCACUUCGGGAUAAGCCUGGGAAACUGGGUCUAAUACCGGAUAGGACCAUGGUGUGGAUACUGUGGUGGAAAGUUUUUUCGGUGUGGGAUGGGCCCGCGGCCUAUCAGCUUGUUGGUGGGGUAAUGGCCUACCAAGGCGGCGACGGGUAGCCGGCCUGGGAGGGUGGACGGCCACAUUGGGACUGAGACACGGCCCAGACUCCUACGGGAGGCAGCAGUGGGGAAUAUUGCACAAUGGGCGGAAGCCUGAUGCAGCGACGCCGCGUGGGGGAUGACGGCCUUCGGGUUGUAAACUCCUUUCACCAUCGACGAAGGGUUUCUGACGGUAGAUGGAGAAGAAGCACCGGCUAACUACGUG